rnacentral:rRNA from 1 species
AUAGUCCACUACGCCUGGAACGGUGAGUGGAUCAAAGCUCAGGCGGCAUAGGAUGGGCCUGCGGCGUAUCAGGUUGUAGGGGGUGUAAAGUACCCUCUAGCCAUCUACGCGUACGGGUGUUGGGAGACAUAGCCCGGAGAUGGAUUCUGAGACACGAAUCCAGACCCUACGGGAUGCAGCAGGCGCGAAAACUUGACAAUGCGAGCAAUCGUGAUCAGGGAACUCCAAGUGGCUGGGGUAAGACCCAGUCUUUUCAUAACUCUUCAAAGGUUGUAGAAUAAGGGGUGGGUAAGGACGGUGCCAGCCGCCGCGGUAAUACCGGCGCCUCAAGUGGUAGUCGCUUUUAUUGGGCCUAAAACGUCCGUAGCCGGUUUGGUACAUUCGUGGGUAAAUCAACUCGCUCAACGAGUUGAAUUCUGCGAGGACGGCCAAACUUGGGACCGGGAGAGGUGUGGGGUACUCUCAGGGUAGGGGUAAAAUCCUGUCAUCCUGAGAGGACCACCUGUUGCGAAGGCGCCACACUAGAACGGAUCCGACGGUCAGGGACGAAGCCUAGGGGCACGAACCGGAUUAGAUACCCGGGUAGUCCUAGGUGUAAACGCUGUGGACUUGAUGUUGGAGAAGCUCCGAGCUUCUUCAGUGUCGAAGCGAAGGUGAUAAGUCCACUGCCUGGGAAGUACGGUCGCAAGGCUGAAACUUAAAGGAAUUGGCGGGGGAGCACCGCAACCUGAGGAUUGUGCGGUUUAAUUGGACUCAACGCCGGGA